rnacentral:rRNA from 1 species
GUUGUAUGGUUAAGUGACUAAGCGUACACGGUGGAUGCCUUGGCAGUCAGAGGCGAUGAAAGGCGUAAUAACUUGCGAUAAGCCCAGAUUAGGUAGUAAUAACCUUUUGAGUCUGGGAUUCCUGAAUGGGGAAACCCACKURCAUAAGYAMGUAUCCUGUUGUGAAUACAUAGCAACAGGAGGCAAACCGGGGGAACUGAAACAUCUAAGUACCCCGAGGAAGAGAAAUCAACCGAGAUUCCGAAAGUAGCGGCGAGCGAAAUUGGAUUAGCCCUUAAGCUUUUAAUGAGACAGACGAAGGCUCUGGAAAGUGCCGCAGUAAAGGGUGAUAGCCCCGUAGUCGACAUCUCAUAAUCAGUGAAAACGAGUAGGGCGGGACACGUGAYAUCCUGUCUGAAUAUGGGGGGACCAUCCUCCAAGGCUAAAUACUACUGACUGACCGAUAGUGAACCAGUACCGUGAGGGAAAGGCGAAAAGAACCCCUGUGAGGGGAGUGAAAUAGAACCUGAAACCGUGUACGUACAAGCAGUAGGAGCACCUUCGUGGUGUGACUGCGUACCUUUUGUAUAAUGGGUCAGCGACUUAAUUUUAGUAGCAAGGUUAACCGUUUAGGGGAGCCGUAGGGAAACCGAGUCUUAACUGGGCGUACAGUUGCUAGGAUUAGACCCGAAACCAGGUGAUCUAGCCAUGGGCAGGUUGAAGGUUGAGUAACAUCAACUGGAGGACCGAACCGACUAAUGUUGAAAAAUUAGCGGAUGACUUGUGGCUAGGGGUGAAAG